GCGGCUUCGGCCAAUGGAAGAUCGGUUUAGUGGCGAACGGGUGAGUAACACGUGAGGAACCUGCCUUUCAGUGGGGGACAACAGUUGGAAACGACUGCUAAUACCGCAUAACGUAUGACGGUGGCAUCACCGAUAUACCAAAGGAGCAAUCCGCUGAAAGAUGAGCUCGCGUCUGAUUAGAUAGUUGGUGGGGUAACGGCCUACCAAGUCGACGAUCAGUAGCCGGACUGAGAGGUUGAACGGCCACAUUGGGACUGAGACACGGCCCAGACUCCUGCGGGAGGCAGCAGUGGGGAAUAUUGCACAAUGGGCGCAAGCCUGAUGCAGCAACGCCGCGUGAGGGAAGACGGUCUUCGGAUUGUAAACCUCUGUCCUUGGUGACGAAUAAAUGACGGUAGCCUUGGAGGAAGCCACGGCUAACUACGUG
rnacentral:rRNA from 1 species